UUCUAGCUUGCUAGAAGAUGACGAGCGGCGGACGGGUGAGUAAUGCUUGGGAACAUGCCUUGAGGUGGGGGACAACCAUUGGAAACGAUGGCUAAUACCGCAUAAUGUCUACGGACCAAAGGGGGCUUCGGCUCUCGCCUUUAGAUUGGCCCAAGUGGGAUUAGCUAGUUGGUGAGGUAAAGGCUCACCAAGGCGACGAUCCCUAGCUGGUUUGAGAGGAUGAUCAGCCACACUGGAACUGAGACACGGUCCAGACUCCUACGGGAGGCAGCAGUGGGGAAUAUUGCACAAUGGGCGCAAGCCUGAUGCAGCCAUGCCGCGUGUGUGAAGAAGGCCUUCGGGUUGUAAAGCACUUUCAGUCAGGAGGAAAGGU
rnacentral:rRNA from 1 species